AAGAGGCAUCAACAACCAAACAUUCUAAGAUGGUAAUAUUGACGGACUCUCAAUCAGCAUGUUGGUACCUGAUCAACCAGGCCAAUCUGGAAAGUGUGGAUCAGAUCUCAUAUGAAAUAUUUAAAAACAUGUCAAAAAAACAUAUAAGCCUGCAAUGGAUCCCUGCACACGUGGGCGUCGAAGGCAAUGAACGGGCGGAUGAAUUAGCCAAGCUUGGCUUAAACAAUCCAGCCGUAGUACGGAAUAAAUUACUUUGGCACGACUUGGUUUGCGAGUUUAGAACACAACUAAAUAUAAGCACGAAUGACUGGUACAGAAGAAUCACUCUCGAAGACGGAAAAGGUCGGAAAUUCUUUGAAAUAGUGGAGAACUACCCGGAAAAACCAUGGUACUGGAACUAUCAGUUGAACGGAAAAGACAUAAGGCUUCUUAAUAGAAUAAUAGCGGGACACGACUACUCAAACUUUUGGCUAGCAAAACUCAAACUCCAAGAGUCAGAAGAAUGUGAUAUAUGCGAAGAGCUGGAUACAACCGAACAUGCCCUACUUUGGUGCAUUAAAUACGGGCACGUAAGAAAUCAUUUUGACUGGGAAAUAUACCGGAACCUGAAGGAAUUAAUGGGAGAGCUAGAAGAAGAAAAACUGAAGGAAAUAGUGAAAUUUUUGAAGAUGGCCAGAUUGAAACCAUAAACAAGAUACGUCAAAAAUUACCAGAAGGCAGCAACUGGCGGAUAUGAGGCAACACAGUCCCUCAAGUCAUAAACGUCAAAACGCAACAACAACAACAACAACAGUGGUAUUAUUCCGCUCGGAGGCUUGCGAAAUUUUGACAGAAUGCGAUAAAAAAAUACAAAAAAAAACAAGAUUUGUGAAUUUUUUGUAUUUUUUCAUCACAAGCUGUCAACAUGUAUAGAAUUUGCUUUUGCGAUGCAAUCGGUCGAAACGAUGGCAAGUGCUGCUGAUAACUGAGUCAAAAAGGCAGAGGAUCAGGAAAUUUAUGCUCUCGUAGCGAUCCGAGUAUCACCAAGGAUAAGAAACCGGAGCCGGCGGUUGGCAGUCCGGAAAAAGAGGAUGCGGAAAAACCUAGUCCAUCGGCAGUAGAACCAGCGACGGUUACUCCCGUAGAAACGGCUGAUCCUGCAGUUUUGAGUUCGUUAAUUAUGGAAAUUCUGACUGGCUGCUCCUGAAGAAAGACAAGCUGCUAGUGGAAAUAGAAAAACAGCUUCCUACACGGAAGAUGCAGAUGCAUUCAACCCGGAGGAUGCAAAAAAACUUUCGAAGCUUUGCACAUGAAGCCGGAACUGCUUCAGGGAGUCUAUGCUAUGGAUUCCAACGCCCCUUCCAAGAUUCAGGAAACGGCUCUACCUACUCUGUUGGCCGAUCCGCCCAGCACAUGAUCGCCCAGUCAGUCAGAAACAAGAGAAACCGCUGCUUUCGCGCGGACAAUGCUCAGUCGAGUCGAUCCGUUAAAAAAACUAUCCGCAGGUGUUUUGCCUUUCCCUUACGUAUGAACUGGCAAAUCAGAAGGGGGUAGCAGUUGCCAAAAUUAAAAAGUUAUGUCCGGAAAUCAAAUUUAGUUACCUCAUCCGCGGCGAGGAGAUUGUCAAAGGGGCGAAGCUGAUUAAUCAUAUCAUCAUCGAAACACCCGGUAAGCUGAUGGACUGGAAUAUAAAAUUCAGGCGUUCGACCUUGAGAAAUUGCCGUUUGUGUACUAAACGAAGCGGGCGUUAUGAUCGCUGUUCUUGGCCACGUACGAGCGGGAGGUAAUGGAGUUCGCCGAGUACAUCUUACCCGAUCCGAUCGUGAUUCAGCUAGCGCGGGAGCAAGAAUCACUAGAUAACAUCAAACAGCACUACAAUAAGUACCGCAACCAGGACGAGAAAUAUCAAGCAAUUUCGAUCAUCUUUGGCGUGAUUACCAUCGGAUAUGCGAUCAUUUUCUGUCGUGUGAGUAUAGGACAGUUGUGAUUGGCAUUGUUAAUCGAUGGAAACAGACACGCAAAACGGCCGAUAGGAUGGUCAUUCGGUAGCGGUACUGUCCGGUGAUUUAACGGUGGAGCAAUGGUUUGCCGGUCUGAAUCGAUUCCGAGCCGGACUAAAGAAGGUAUUGAUUACAACGAACGUUUUGUCUUGGGGUAUCGAUGUCGAACAGGUGACCAUUGUAAACUUCAUCCUGUCGAUGGAUCAGUAGAGACGAGCCGAUGGCGAAACGUAUCUGCAUCGAAUUGGACGCACCGGUAAAUUCUGUAAGUGCGACUCAUUCUUGUGAUUCUAUAGAUUGUAUUUCUUCCCUCUUCUUUAACAGGCAUCGCCAUCAACCUGGUGGGCAGUGAUCGAAGCAUGAUGAUUUGCAGAUCAUUCGAAAAACACUUCCAGAAAAAGAUUCAGCUGCUAGACGCGGAGAAUUCGGACGUUAUUGAAAAGAUCGGAUCGUAGUGUUUUCGACCAGCUACUGGUGAAAGGCGCUGGAGCUUUUUUGGUUCAUUAUUGUUCCGAUUGUGAAUCUAUAACUUUAUUUAGCUCUAUCAGUUGAUUUCCUUAGGAUUAGUUCAAGGAUCGGUAACGCGAGGAUUGUGAAGUGCAUGUUUAAUUGUUAUAACUUGGAGUUAAGUGAACCACAGAUAACAGACGUUUAAGCUCGAUUUGAAUCGUGUAUAAAAGCCCGCUACUGAAAUUCCGAAUAAAUUAGACGUCUGAAACACGUUUGGCAAACGUUUGCAGAUGACGCAGUGAUCAAUACAAUGCAGUUAGAGUGCAGCUGUUAAACACGUGUAGCAAACAGUUGCGCAGAUGGCAAUAGUGAAACACGGAUUUCCAACGUUUAUCAAUUUGAAAGUUUACACAGGUUUUUGAAGAAAUUUUGUUCUAGCCUAAACGUCUGUUAUCUGUGGGUAAACUCUUGAAGAAAACGACUUUGUUUUUUUAUUUUGUCGUUGGACGGCCAGUAGAGUGAAGUGGCAAGAAUUUUUCCAAAACACCUUGAAGAAGAAGAUGAAAAAUAUUUUGUUCAAUACCAUGUAAAUAAAUAUUUCAAGAAGAUAGAACAGACAGCUAUAAAACAGCAAAAAAAUCUAAAAGAAAUUAUAUAUGCUUCGAAGCGAUUUUCAUCGUUGGCGCCGUUUCCGUCGUCGUCAUCCUCAGUAAGUUGUUCCUUCUUAACAUCGAGUUCCACCAAUUGCGAUAGAUCGUCUUGUGUCAUCUCCUUUUGAUAGCCCAAGAACGAAUCACUCUUAUCCUGUUCCUGCUCAUGCUCCUUUCCACGAUCCUCGAGUGUAUCGAAACGACCGGCGAUGACAACAAACACUUUACACUUGGUGCACUUCCAUGCAAUUCGCCCUCGCUGAUCAACCGAUCCGAUGGGUACCGGUAGCAACUGUGCACGACAAACAGCUGACCCCGCUUGCCCGGAAUCAGUUUGUAAGCAAUCUGUUCGGCUUGCUUUUGCGUCCAACAUCUAACCUUCAAUGAUGGUUUUAUUUUCGCAGUCGUCCUGCGUGAAAAAAUUCAACCCUAAUUAUUUUUCUCACGUGUAAAUUUAAAACGACUUACCCCUCAGGCGCAUGGUUAUGUGCCCAUUUGCUAUUUAUUUAGUUAUUCAUUUACUAAUUUGUAUAUUUUUACAUUUGUUCUUUCAUUGUUGUGGGUGAAUGGAGAACAGUGAGUCUAGUUAUGUAAGGAAUGCAAACUAGGCUUGAUGGAACCUUGCCAGUCCUGGAUAUCACACACAUUUGGAGCAACAUCAGAUGUUUUUCAAGCCGUUCUCAACUCCUAUACGGCAGUUUUCACGCCGCCACCCGCGUAACGGCUUGAUAGUUGAUAUUCGAGCUUGUAGAACCAUUUGGGCGUACCAUAUAUGAGCUCCGACGGAAAUUGAGGAUGAAAUAGAUCUCUUCUAUGAGACAGUCGUCCGACGGUGUCGAAAUGCCGCAAGAGAUGAGCAGCGGUAAACUAGUUAUUCAAGAUGGGAAUGAGACACUUAAUUACCACCAUUGAAAUGAAAUCUGUUAGUAGCACUAACAAACAUCUA